GUGCUUGUUUUGGCAGUACAUAUACUAAAAACUGGAAUAAUACAGAGAAGAUAAACAUGGCCUCUACACAAGUAUGACAUGCAAAUUUGUAAAGCACUCCAUAUUUUU